rnacentral:miRNA from 1 species
GGUGGGGGCUUCUGUUU